rnacentral:rRNA from 1 species
CACGUAGGGUGCGAGCGUUGUCCGGAAUUAUUGGGCGUAAAGAGCUCGUAGGCGGCGUGUCGCGUCGGCCGUGAAAACUUGCAGCUUAACUGUGGGCGUGCGGUCGAUACGGGCAUCACUGGAGUUCGGCAGGGGAGACUGGAAUUCCUGGUGUAGCGGUGAAAUGCGCAGAUAUCAGGAGGAACACCGGUGGCGAAGGCGGGUCUCUGGGCCGAUACUGACGCUGAGGAGCGAAAGCGUGGGGAGCGAACAGG